rnacentral:tRNA from 1 species
GAAGGUAUAGCUCAGUGGUAAAGCGUGUGCUUAGCAUGCAUGAGGACCUGGGUUCAAUCCCCAGUUCCUCUA